UGGAAAAAGAGGCAGCAAGCUUGUUGUGAGAAACUCUGAUUACUGACUGUGUUCAAGCUCUGUUUCCUGUUAUCUGCUUUCUCGGUAACACGGAUUGGACAAACGCCAUGAAUUUAGAAACUGCAGGGGUGCAUCCCGACCCGCCCACCACUUGUUCCCUGACUGAGGAGGAAGUUCAGCCGGCCUCCCGUGACACACAGCAGUGGCGUGGUGAGCUGCAAGCAGCGGGUCACCAUAGCAACGGGUGACGCGAUCUUCGGAAGUGACCCGGCGGCUUCAGUUCCGGAAGCGGGGCCGCGUGGAGAGGAUGCGGCGGUGAGGGUAUUUAGA